GCCGUAUGUGGGUGUAUUAUUGGUGAGAGCAAGAGAAACAAAUGGUGCGAGAGAAAGAGUAUCACUAUUUAGGUGAAGGUGUUGUGGGGAUGUGAUGUGCGUGGCCCUACUUGGCAUGUAGGUCAGCCAAUUAUUUAAGGCUCGGUUUUGGCGUGCGAGGCAUUUUUGUUGUUGUUUGAAUAUGUUUUGCGAGGAUGCACAAAAAUACAAAUAACUUUAUAACCAUAUACAAGUCAUAUGAAGUAGGUUAGUUUUAAACUAGCGAGUUUGUGAGAUGCGAAUAUAUAUUAUUAUACAGACAAGGUUUUAUAAAGGCGAAUUUGUUGUACAUAUAACGACCAAACGGCUGAAUGGAUUUGAAUGAAAUUGACAUCAAACGAAAAAUAUUAGCUGUGUUCGGGAACUCAAAAAUUUGUGCAAAUUUGCAUUCGAAGGGCCUCUAAACCUGCUCAAAGGACAUGUCGCCGAUUUAAAUAUAUCUGGGUCUAAAUGAAA